UACAGAGGUCUCAAGCGUUGUUCGGAUUCAUUGGGCGUAAAGGGUGCGUAGGCGGUCUGUUACGUCUGCUGUGAAAACCCGGGGCUUAACCCUGGGCUUGCAGUGGAUACGGGCAGACUAGAGGCAGGUAGGGGAGAAUGGAAUUCCCGGUGUAGCGGUGAAAUGCGCAGAUAUCGGGAGGAACACCGGUGGCGAAGGCGGUUCUCUGGGCCGAAAUUGACGCUGAGGAGCGAAAGCGUGGGGAGCAAACAGG
rnacentral:rRNA from 1 species